rnacentral:lncRNA from 1 species
UUAAAUUAAUUUUUCAUUUUGAAAUAGGGUUUCCUCUAUCCAGUCUGGACUGUUUUGGAAUUUUCUGUAGCUCAGGCUGCCCUUGAGUUUGAUUUUCCUACUUUCUCCUUCCAAGUGCUGAGACUAGAGGCAGGCACCCCCACAGCCAGCUGAAGAGCCGCACUUUUUAGGGCCUGGUGCACAGACACAAAAUGCCCAGUCACACCAGUGGUGGCAGAGGGGCCUCACUGGCAUUCUCUGUUUUGCUAUAUUUCCGAAUAACUCCCUGGGAUAUAUUUUUCACUGUUUUUCCUUGUGUUGAAUCAAUCUCUCUCUCUCUCUCUCUCUCUCUCUCUCUCUCUCUCUCUCUCUCUCUCUCUUUUUCUCAAGCUCAACUAUCUGUUGAUGGUCUCUCUGGUUCUAUUUCAAAGUUGAUCUGUUCUUACAAUUUCUGGUCUUUCUUUUGUGUCUACCACAACGCCGUCUGUCUUGGAGUCUUCCAUUUCGUCCCUGUGUCGGGAUCUUGGUCUGUUUGCAACGGUUUCUUCUAACUUUUGAUUUUUGAGAACUUUUUCUUUCCAUUUUUUUUUAAAUUACAUUUUAAAAAUAAUUUUUGUUUUUGAAGUUUGAGCUCAUCUUCAACUGGGGCAUUUGUCUUCUGUGUAGUGCCAAGUGCUGUGGUUUAUGGGGUAAUUCUUAAAAACUGGUAUCAUGUUAGUUUCUUCCAGUUUCCUGGGGAUUUUCGUUGGCCUGGCAUUGGUUUUUCAUGAAUUUUAUGGUGUGGGGUUCCCAAACUAUGUAUAUAGUAUAGUGUUCGCUUUUGCUAGUGUGUAUGGAAAGGCUUCAGAGAUUUGGUUACUAGCAAUGCCCUAACUUCCCCCUUCCCCCAGUCUUCAUUAGUGGGUGGGGUUGUUUGUUUUUGACAACUUCACUGAAUUGGUGACAGUUUGUAGUCUUUACUGAUCUCUGUCUUUGUGUAGAAGUCUUAGGACCUGUCCCUCCUCAGGCACUGACCCUGUAGUCCCCAUCCCUUAGCCUAGAAUGUUCUGGAACUCAGCCUGUAAUUCUCCUAAUGAUUCCAUUUUAUGUUUUCUGCUCAGGACCUGAGGGGUUUCUCUUAGAAAUAUGCGUUCUUCCAUUUUAAUCUAAAAAGUCCAUCUCAGUCCCAUUAGAGAUACUUCCAUGUAGAGCAAUGCUGUAGAAAGUACAGGGUCCACAGGACAGGGGUCCACCUCUGUAGCUGUUUUUGCUGGAGGAUCCCUUGGAGGCAGAGCUGUAGGACAUGUCUAUACCAGCCUGCUCCCAUUCUGUUUCUUUCCCUUGGGUUUGGUAUCUGGGGCCAGGCAUUGUCAUAUCGGAAGGUUUCCCCGGCACUAAACAUUCUUCAUCCUUUGGGAACUCUCAGCCCUGGGUGAACCUGGACAGUUUUUCUCUCCUGGUCUCUGUUUCCCUUCUAGAGACUGAGCAAGUCUUCCGAAGCUUCGCUGUGUGGUAACCUACUUACUCAAGCUCAGGCUAUACUGUUACCUUCAGAUUUCUUUGUUAGAAUAUGUUUUAAAUACAUUCAAAUACUAAAUGUUAGUCUGUUUGCAGAAGGCUUCGCAUGGCUAGUAGGCAGAAGGUCCUCACCUCCUGAGAAAGUCUAGGAACCAUAAUCAACUUUAAUAAUCUUUAAUAUCUUUAUAUCUUUAUUAAUAUCUUUAAUAAUCUUUCUGUUCAGGGGAACUGGUAGAUUAUACUUUCGAGAACUGUCUCCUGUGUUCCUGUUGGUAGGGCUGGAAAAACCCUCAAGUAUGCAAUUCACAUUGAUUUUAUUGUAGACAUCCGAGAGGCAAAGAGGAGGCAAAUGAUAGCUUACUCAUUUACCAGUGAUGCAAAUCAAAUGUGCUCCUGGCAACAAAAUCACUCCGGACACCUUUGCCCUUUUCUCCACUGAUUUGCAGGAAAGGUACAUGUUUGCACUCCAUUCCAGACUUGCAAAUGGCGCCCGAGACCAGGAUAACCUCCUUACUGGAGUAGAUCACUACGUACUGUCGGCUCUUGUGCAUUAAGAAUUUAUUGUUUAUUUACUGCUUAAGACUUGAUAACUCAGGACCAGUGAGGUCGCUCCUAUAGGAAGGGCCUAGAUCCCAGUCACCUGUCCUGUUUCUGAUGAAAUCCUCGCUAACCAUUCCCCAGCUUUGGAAUCACGGUUGUUUACAGAACCCUUUAGGAGACUUAAACAAGCAUCCGGACCUCAGCACAUGUAGGGCCACACACAGUUCAUGUGGGGAUAAGACUGUCCCCUGGACGGUGUGUGAUUCAAAAGGCUAAGCCAAGACGGAGAGGAAGCUGCUGAGAAAGAAACCUAUCGGGGCCAGGAUGCUCAAAUGCUCAAACGGCGCUGUCUUUGCAGAUAUUGGUAUCAUAGCGACUUGCAUUUUCUUUUAAGGCUUCCAGUUGGAAAUAGGAAGUACUUUUAAGGUGUAAUGGGAGGCACAGAGUCUGUGGGGGGGGUGUGGGAGGGGUUUGGUACAAAUUUAUUCUGCACUAGCAGACUAGCAACAAAAUCCAUAGUGCAGAUUUUCCAGAAGCAUUAACAAGCUUAUUUGAUUACUUUAUUGCACAAAUCUUCGGUCUUGGGAAAUCUGUCUCAUGUCAGUUCUGAUAACAGGACAAUAUUGUCAUAAUGCCUUAUUGCCUGACAAAGCAUCCCAGUAACUGUAAAAAUGAUACUUUCUUAUACUUAUUUCUGAAUAAUUGUUUGUGUUGAUUGUAAUUAUGUUUUUACAGAGCCACUGGCUUUUGAAAGCCUAAUGUGUUUAGGGAGACACUAGGUUGUGUAAUUAUAUUAACUAAUUCUGGCCUUUUGUAUAUUUGUUCCUAUGGAGCUGUGGUUUAACAGCCCCAGGCUGAAAGUUUAACAGCUCAUGGUCCUGCCUCUGUACUGCUGUUAAAUGUGAACACAUAUUCAAAUGUUAGAGAAUAGCUUCCUGGUCUUUAAAGAGUAAAAUAUCUUUUGUGUACUUCACAGGACCAUAGUGACUUACAUAGUUUAGAUGCUGUCUGAGGCCCUGGGAGAGCAGGAAAGAAAAAAAGCUCACAAAAUUUUACUAUAGAUAUUAUUUCUAUUUAUUUGCUUUUAAGUCUAGGGAUUGCUUGAGAGUGGAAUGGUGAGAAAUAAUGCAACUUUAAUUUCACAUUGUGCCCAGAUUAAUCUGCUGAAGUAUGGAACACAGUUUUAUGUAAAUUAUAUAUUGUAGAUGGGCGAGAGUGGAAACACAUUUUUUUUUCUUUUUUUUUUAAACAAGAGCUUUACUGAGACCCUUUUAUGGAUUGGCUGGUUUGUUCUCAUUUGUCGCUGGACUGCUUCCAGAUGUACAAUAUUAGUUUCUUGCAAUUGCAAGGAGUCUGCCAUCAGGGCCAGGUGCACAUGGCUUUAUGGGCAUUUCACUUUAAAGUUUUAACGUUGCAACCCCAAGAAUGCCUGGAACUGAUAACCGAUUUAACUCUCUGCCUGCUAAUCGGACCACGGCAUAGCUCUGUGUUUUUAUCUUUUGAAUUCUGCAUUUUCUUUCUGAUUCAAUUUCUGUGUAACUUUAUUGAAAAGGAGAUGAUUUUAUUCUAAGACUUGCCCCUGAGAGGGAAAAUAUUUUCUAUAACCUGUUUUUUUCUCAUGUAAUCUGGUGUGGUUCUCAGACAAUGAAAGGAAUAAGAGACUCCUCUUUAAGACUUGGCAAUGUUAUCUUUGUGUGUGUGUCUUUGUUCCUGUGGGUGUAUGCUUUCGAGGGUGUGUACCUGUGAGUGUUUGCACAUGUGACCCUGGAGGCCAGAGUUCAACCUUGGCUAGCAUUCUGCAGGAGCUGUCCACAUGUCUUCAUUCAUUUUCAAAUGUAGACCAGGCUGGUCUGGAAUUUAUAGAGAUCCACCUGUGUCUGCCUCCCAAGUGGUGGAAUUAAAAGUGUGUGCCAUCACACUGGGCUACAUUGUGCUAUGAGACAGGUUUUUCCAGGCUGAAACCUUAUGAAGAUGGCUAGCCUGGCUAGCCAGCUCCCCCAUCUCCGCCUCUGCACUGAUGGGAUUACAAGCUCAAGCUACCACCACACUUGCCUGGCUUUCUUCUGUGAGUUCCAGGGCUCAGAUUCAGUUUAUGUAGCAAGCACUUCACUGGCUGAGUAAGCUCCCUAGCUCCUGAAAUAUUGCUUUGUGAAAAU